AUUUAGCCGUGAACCGCUCGAGCUGAAGAACUGGUUCAAACAGGCCUGUGAGGACACUAUGGAUGGUGCCCACUCCCAUGAGACUCGCUCAUAAAGGAUAAGCGAGACGAGCUGUAUACCCUGACAGGCAGCCUCCUCUGGGUGAAGACGUCGCAACGGGAUGGCUAUAAGGUCCUGUUCGGUCAGGAGAGGUGCACGCGUUGAAGUUGACCCGUUACAUCAGCAGCGGAUCUGACUCGAGUGAAUACAGUGAACGGGACCGGGACACCGCAAGGCAUCAUGGACCGAGCGCUUUAAAG